UAGGGAAUCUUCGGCAAUGGGGGGAACCCUGACCGAGCAACGCCGCGUGAGUGAAGAAGGUUUUCGGAUCGUAAAGCUCUGUUGUUAAGGAAGAACGAGUGUGAGAAUGGAAAGUUCAUACUGUGACGGUACUUAACCAGAAAGGGACGGCUAACUACGUGUCAGCAGCCGCGGUAAUACGUAGGUCCCGAGCGUUGUCCGGAUUUAUUGGGCGUAAAGCGAGCGCAGGCGGUUAGAAAAGUCUGAAGUGAAAGGCAGUGGCUCAACCAUUGUAGGCUUUGGAAACUGUUUAACUUGAGUGCAGAAGGGGAGAGUGGAAUUCCAUGUGUAGCGGUGAAAUGCGUAGAUAUAUGGAGGAACACCGGUGGCGAAAGCGGCUCUCUGGUCUGUAACUGACGCUGAGGCUCGAAAGCGUGGGGAGCGAACAGG
rnacentral:rRNA from 1 species